rnacentral:rRNA from 1 species
AUUGAACGCUGGCGGCAGGCUUAACACAUGCAAGUCGAGCGAUCGGCGGACGGGUGAGCAAUGUCUGGGAAACUGCCUGAUGGAGGGGGAUAACUACUGGAAACGGUAGCUAAUACCGCAUACCAUCAGAGGUGCCCAGAUGGGAUUAGCUAGUAGGUGGGGUAAUGGCUCACCUAGGCGACGAUCCCUAGCUGGUCUGAGAGGAUGACCAGCCACACUGGGACUGGGACGCUGUCCAUACUCCUACGGGAGGCAGCAGUGGGGACUGUUGCACAAUGGGCGCCGGCCUGGUGCAGCCAGGCCGCGAGUGUGAAGAAGGCCUUCGGAUUGUAAAGCUCUUUCAGCGAGGAGGCGUUACUCGCAGAAGAAAAACCGGCUAACUCCAUUCCAGCAGCCGCGGUAAUAC